UACGUAGGGUGCAAGCGUUGUCCGGAAUUAUUGGGCGUAAAGAGCUCGUAGGCGGUCUGUCGCGUCGGAUGUGAAAAUCAGGGCUCAACCCUGGACCUGCAUUCGAUACGGGCAGACUAGAGUUCGGUAGGGGAGACUGGAAUUCCUGGUGUAGCGGUGAAAUGCGCAGAUAUCGGGAGGAACACCGGUGGCGAAGGCGGGUCU
rnacentral:rRNA from 1 species